ensembl:lncRNA
GGCAGCGUUCAGUCUUCUCACUGGUAAGCGCACGGUUAGCUGUAGAUGUUUUUUACAGAUGUCAUUUGCCCUUCGUCGUAUGGGUAUGGGUGCGACCAUGGGCUAUUCUGUGGUGUUGGCUGAUAUAGCGCAGUUAUUAUCUAAAAGUUGUCUGUCUUGCUGCAGGCAGCAAGCUUUCGUUGGAGCCUUUUUGGUCUGUGCUUGUUGGCAUCUCCAGGUUCUUCCAUUCCAAGUGGGACAUAAAGCAACCAUGGGCCGCUCGCCACAGUGUCCUUCCUCGGGGCUGAGGCCCCUUGCUGGACUGCCUUCUUCACUCUGCCUUCGGAGUCUUCUCGCGUUUGCCUUGUGUGUCCCGUGUAGGAGUUUUCAUUGUACACAGAAGGUGGAAAGGGGAGAGUGUGUCUUCUUCAUCCUCCUGGAAGUGGAAGUGGUUAGAGAAACUAGAGGAUUGGGUGGAAGCCAGUACGUGGAGGGCCUUCACACCAGGGUUUUGACUCUGUAGCUGGUAGAAGGGCUCUUGGAAGGUCAUCUCUGCCAUGGUGUGGAGGGAUGGGGAAGGGGAGAGGCAGAGAGACCAGGAGGCUGGUACCUGAGCUCAGGGAGGAGAGGAUGAGGUUCUGGACUAUGACAGCAGACAUGGGGCAGAAAGAAGAAGGGGGAGUCCACAUGGGCCUUGAGGAAGUCUGAGAAGACCAGGUAAAAACCAGUUUUGGUGAGGAUUGGAGAGAGAAAGAGAGAUGAGAAUGACUCCAAACCUCUCACCCUGGCAACUAGAAGACCAGGAGACCAUGCCUUUAAACUAAGAUUGGUAAGAUUCUG